rnacentral:rRNA from 1 species
GAUGAACGCUGGCGGCGUGCUUAAUACAUGCAAGUCGAACGGGGAACGAGCAAUCGUUUCUAGUGGCGAACGGGUGCGUAACGCGUGGGUGACCUGCCCCGAAGCGGGGGAUAACAGCUCGAAAGGGCUGCUAAUACCCCAUGAGGACAUUUGGGUUAGAGGCCAAAUGAUCGAAAGGAGGGCUCGCAAGAGCUGAUCCACUUUGGGAGGGACCUGCGUCCCAUCAGCUAGUUGGUAGGGUAACGGCCUACCAAGGCGACGACGGGUAGGGGGCCUGAGAGGGUGGCCCCCCACACUGGCACCGAAAUACGGGCCAGACACCUACGGGUGGCAGCAGUAGGGAAUAUUGCACAAUGGGCGCAAGCCUGAUGCAGCAACGCCGCGUGCGCGAUGAAGGCCUUCGGGUCGUAAAGCGCUUUUCGGGGAGAAGAGGAAGGACGGUAUCCCCGGAAUAAGUCUCGGCUAACUACGUGCCAGCAGCCGCGGUAAAACGUAGGAGGCAAGCGUUAUCCGAAUUUACUGGGCGUAAAGCGUGUGCAGGCGGCUUGAUAAGUUGGGUGUGAAAUCUCCUGGCUCAACCGGGAGAGGUCGCUCAAGACUGUCGGGCUGGAGGGCAGGAGAGGGUGGUGGAAUUCCCGGUGUAGUGGUGAAAUGCGUAGAUAUCGGGAGGAACACCUGUGGCGAAAGCGGCCACCUGGCCUGUACCUGACGCUGAGACACGAAAGCUAGGGUAGCGAACGGGAUUAGAAACCCCGGUAGUCCUAGCUGUAAACGAUGUAGACUGGGUGUCGGUGGGGUAAAAGCCAGCGGUGCCGAAGCUAACGCGCUAAGUCUACCGCCUGGGGACUACGGCCGCAAGGUUA